rnacentral:lncRNA from 1 species
AAAUUACAGAGCGAACAUAUACAUGGGUAAAAUUAAAAAAUAAAUACAUAAAAAAAAAAGAGAAAGCCUUCACGAAGGUUGCUCACUCGGCGGAACCCCAGGAGGAGGAGGUAUCGGAGGUUGAUCAUUUGGCGCUUCAUUACGCGGUACAGCCCUAGAAGACGAAGGCAAAUGCUGUUGGAACAAACCCACAAACCUCUGAUGAUCAAGUAAAAUCUGACCGUCAGAUUCCUGCAUCUGGCCAAUCUUCCUCUUCAUGUUUGUAGCAUAGUUAUGUGCAAGCCUGUGCAACUGUUUAUUCUCAUGCUUGAGCCCCUAAUCUCCUGUUUGAGACUCAUCACUUCAGCCGCCAAUGAUUCAACUUGACGGGUUCGAGCAAAUAGGCGUUGGGCCAUAUUAGACACAGAACCUGCACACUAAGAGCUAGAGAAUCCUUAACAGCCAACUCAUCAGACCGUUUGGAAAGUAGUCUGUUAUCUUUAGGAGUGACAAGGUUCCGGGCCACCACUGCAGCGGUUAUAUCAUUCUUCAUCAUCGAAUCCCCAAUGGUAAGAGGACCGGUAUGGGAUAUGAAGGAUGGGCGCCAUAUGUUGUCUGGAGAAGGCGGGACU